rnacentral:lncRNA from 1 species
UUUGGUAAAUGUGUUGAAAAAGUAUGAACUGUUGAUUUGCCUUGAGAGGCUGUAAAAUAAAAUAAUUGCCAUGUCAUGCUGUUGAAUUUUAUUGAAUUGGUGGAUUAUAUAUUGGUCGCUGAGUGGACGGGUUCCGUGGACCAGCCUAUUAGAGGGGCACGGUAACCCUAUUAUAUUCAUACCUCAGUAUGAAAGGCACGGUUGGAUAACUCCUGAGGUUAAAACUUUAGAGUUCACUUCACGCCAAACCACCACGUGAAGGUGAACUCAGCCAAC